CCUACGGGAGGCAGCAGCUAAGAAUCUUKCGCAUGGGCGAAACCCUGACGCAGCAUUCCGCGUGGAGGACGAAGGCCCUCGGGUCGUAAACUCCUUUUGCGAGGGAAGAAGUUCUGACGGUACCUCGCGAAUAAGCCACGGCUAACUACGUGCCAGCAGCCGCGGUAAUACGUAGGUGGCGAGCGUUGUCCGGAUUUAUUGGGCGUAAAGAGCCCGCAGGCGGCUUGGCAAGUUUCGAGUGAAAUCUCCCGGCUCAACUGGGAGGGCGCUCGGAAAACUGCCAGGCUUGAGGCAGGGAGAGGGAUGUGGAAUUCCCGGUGUAGUGGUGAAAUGCGUAGAUAUCGGGAGGAACACCAGUGGCGAAGGCGGCAUCCUGGCCCUGUCCUGACGCUCAGGGGCGAAAGCGUGGGGAGCAAACCGGAUUAGAUACCCGGGUAGUCCACGCCGUAAACGAUGAGUACUAGGUGUAGGGGGUAUCGACCCCCUCUGUGCCGAAGCCAACGCGAUAAUACUCCGCGUGGGACUACGCCGCAAGGCUAAAACUCAAAGGAAUUGACGG
rnacentral:rRNA from 1 species